AUCAUGUUGUUUAAUUCGAUGAUACGCGAAGAACCUUACCAGGUCUUGACAUCCCCCGCGAUGCUUUAGAGAUAAAGCGGAGGUAUUCGGGGAGACAGGUGGUGCAUGGUUGUCGUCAGCUCGUGUCGUGAGAUGUUGGGUUAAGUCCCGCAACGAGCGCAACCCCUAUUGCUAGUUACCAUCAUUAAGUUGGGGACUCUAGCGAGACUGCCAGUGAUAAACUGGAGGAAGGUGGGGAUGACGUCAAAUCAUCAUGCCCCUUAUGACCUGGGCUACAAACGUGAUACAAUGGCUGGAACAAAGGGAUGCGAAGCAGUGAUGUGGAGCGAAACCCAUAAAAACAGUCUCAGUUCGGAUUGAAGUCUGCAACUCGACUUCAUGAAGUUGGAAUCGCUAGUAAUCGCGCAUCAGCAUGGCGCGGUGAAUACGUUCCCGGGCCUU
rnacentral:rRNA from 1 species